rnacentral:misc_RNA from 1 species
GAUGAAGAACGUAGCAAAAUGCGAUAAGUAAUGUGAAUUGCAGAAUUCAGUGAAUCAUCGAAUCUUUGAACGCACAUUGCGCCCCUUGGUAUCCCGAGGGGCAUGCCUGUUCGAGCGUCAUUUCACCACUCAAGCCUGGCUUGGUGUUGGGCGACGUCCCCUUUGGGGACGCGCCUCGAAACGCUCGGCGGCGUGGCACCGGCUUUAAGCGUAGCAGAAUCUUUCGCUUUGGAAGUCGGGGCCCCGUCUGCCGGAAGACCUACUCGCAAGGUUGACCUCGGAUCAGGCAGGGAUACCCGCUGAACUUAAGCAUAUCAAUAAGCGGAGGA